AUUGAACGCUGGCGGCAUGCUUUACACAUGCAAGUCGAACGGCAGCGCGGGCUUCGGUCUGGCGGCGAGUGGCGAACGGGUGAGUAAUGCAUCGGAACGUGCCCAGUAGUGGGGGAUAGCGCGGCGAAAGCCGGAUUAAUACCGCAUACGACCUGAGGGUGAAAGCGGGGGACCGAAAGGCCUCGCGCUAUUGGAGCGGCCGAUGUCGGAUUAGCUAGUUGGUGGGGUAAAGGCUUACCAAGGCGACGAUCCGUAGCUGGUCUGAGAGGACGACCAGCCACACUGGGACUGAGACACGGCCCAGACUCCUACGGGAGGCAGCAGUGGGGAAUUUUGGACAAUGGGGGCAACCCUGAUCCAGCCAUGCCGCGUGCGGGAAGAAGGCCUUCGGGUUGUAAACCGCUUUUGUUCGGGAAGAAAUCCUCUGGGCUAAUACCCCGGGGUGAUGACGGUACCGGAAGAAUAAGCACCGGCUAACUACGUG
rnacentral:rRNA from 1 species